rnacentral:piRNA from 1 species
ACCCACUCUUGCUCUCAGGAUCUUGCCUA